rnacentral:rRNA from 1 species
AUACGUAGGGUGCGAGCGUUGUCCGGAAUUACUGGGCGUAAAGCGCUCGUAGGUGGUUUGUCGCGUCGUCUGUGAAAUUCCGGGGCUUAACUCCGGGCGUGCAGGCGAUACGGGCAUAACUUGAGUACUGUAGGGGAGACUGGAAUUCCUGGUGUAGCGGUGAAAUGCGCAGAUAUCAGGAGGAACACCGGUGGCGAAGGCGGGUCUCUGGGCAGUAACUGACGCUGAGGAGCGAAAGCAUGGGUAGCGAACAGGAUUAGAUACCCUGGUAUUCCAUGCCGUAAACGGUGGGCGCUAGGUGUAGGGGUCUUCCACGACUUCUGUGGCGUAGCUAACGCAUUAAGCGCCCCGCCUGGGGAGUACGGCCGCAAGGCUAAAACUCAAAUGAAUUGACGGGG